UACGUAGGUGGCAAGCGUUAUCCGGAAUUACUGGGCGUAAAGCGUGCGCAGGCGGCUUCCUAAGUCAGAUGUGAAAUCCCCGGGCUUAACCUGGGAACUGCGUUUGAAACUGGGGGGCUAGAGUGCGGCAGAGGGGGGUGGAAUUCCACGUGUAGCGGUGAAAUGCGUAGAGAUGUGGAGGAACACCAAUGGCGAAGGCAGCCCCCUGGGCCAACACUGACGCUCAUGCACGAAAGCGUGGGGAGCAAACAGG
rnacentral:rRNA from 1 species